rnacentral:rRNA from 1 species
UACGUAGGGUGCGAGCGUUAAUCGGAAUUACUGGGCGUAAAGGGUGCGCAGGCGGCCCUGUAAGACCGGUGUGAAAUCCCCGGGCUCAACCUGGGAAUUGCGCUGGUGACUGCAGGGCUAGAGUACGGUAGAGGGGGGUGGAAUUCCUGGUGUAGCAGUGAAAUGCGUAGAGAUCAGGAGGAACACCGAUGGCGAAGGCAGCCCCCUGGGCCUGUACUGACGCUCAUGCACGAAAGCGUGGGGAGCAAAUAGG